UGAUUGACCUCGGAUCAGGUAGGGAUACCCGCUGAACUUAAGCAUAUCAAUAAGCGGAGGAAAAGAAACCAACAGGGAUUGCCUCAGUAACGCGAUAG
rnacentral:rRNA from 1 species